rnacentral:rRNA from 1 species
UACCUGCAGCCCAAGUGGUGGUCGAUUUUAUUGAGUCUAAAGCGUUCGUAGCCGGUUUGAUAAAUCUUUGGGUAAAUCGGGAAGCUUAACUUUCCGACUUCCGGAGAGACUGUCAAACUUGGGACCGGGAGAGGCUAGAGGUACUUCUGGGGUAGGGGUAAAAUCCUGUAAUCCUAGAAGGACCACCGGUGGCGAAGGCGUCUAGCUAGAACGGAUCCGACGGUGAGGGACGAAGCCCUGGGUCGCAAACGGG